CCUACGGGUGGCAGCAGUGAGGAAUAUUGGUCAAUGGCCGAGAGCCUGAACCAGCCAAGUCGCGUGAAGGAUGACGGCCCUACGGGUUGUAAACUUCUUUUGUCGGGGAGCAAAGCGAACCACGUGUAGUUCAUUGAGUGUACCCGAAGAAAAAGCAUCGGCUAACUCCGUGCUAGAAGCCGCGGUAAUACGGAGGAUGCGAGCGUUAUCCGGAUUUAUUGGGUUUAAGGGGUGAGCAGGCGGUGGUGCAAGUCAGGUGUAAAAUUGCGGGGCUAAACCCCGUAUUGCCGUUGAAACUAGAACCCUAGAGUACGGUAGAGGUAUGCGGAAUUCGUGGUGUAGCGGUGAAAUGCAUAGAUAUCACGAAGAACUCCGAUUGCGAAGGCAGCCUACCGGAGCGAAACUGACGCUCAUGCACGAAAGCGUGGGUAUCAAACAGGAUUAGAUACCCGAGUAGUC
rnacentral:rRNA from 1 species